GGGGUGUGCACAGAGUAGAGGGCCUGAAAAAUGGCUCCUCUGUUCAUAACAUGCCCAGCAGAAAUCGGGGUCAUUGUGAUGAGGGGCACAAAACUUGAACAUAUUCUCUACAUGU
ensembl:snoRNA